rnacentral:lncRNA from 1 species
UGUAAAUGUGAAAAUGAUGCUUCUUUGAACAACUUUUCCUGGAAUGGGCCCUGGCAUGUGUCUUAACUGUUUCUUGCUGAAUGACUGUGCACAGAGGCUGGUAAGGUGCUGGCCAGCACAGCAAGUAUGGCUAAAUGCAGUCGUGGCGGCCUGCAGAAGGGACAGGAGCUUGCCUCUGGAUGAGACUACAUCUGACAGGUGAUGAGAUAGAUCAUGUUGGUUGGAGCACCUAGGUUGAGAGGUCCACACGAGGCUCAAUUGUUUCUAAAUGGUAAAAUUCCACCUCAAAGAAUGUUAUUUUCUUACAUAAUAUCUGGUGAGGCAGACAAAAACCAAGGAGAUGCUUGUAAAACAUGAAGUGUUCUGAAGGAAGCACAAAGGGUUCUGGGAGGCCCUUCACUGGAGAAGAUGCACUCCUUUCAAGACUUUCAAGAUCAGAAGGAGGCAGGCCUGUGAAAAACCAGCCAGCAGCUGAGCAUCCAAGAGGAGGAAGGAAGCCCAGAGCCCAGGCUGGGAAGGGAGUGAGUGCCCCAUGGACAGCAAGAAAGUGAAUGAUGGGAGCAGGCCAUGGGGACAUCCUGGGAGCUUAGGUUUAUUCCAAGUGCAACAGGAGCCAGGGAAGGGCUGUAGGUAGGAGAGCUGGGGUGAUUGAGCUGAAUUUUCACAAACAUAAUUUGGAGUUUUGAGUAGCGGAUAGAUUGGAGAAGAGACAGAGCAGAAGCGAGGAGACCCAUGAGGAGAUGAUUGCUGGAGUCCUGGCUGGGUGUAGGGAAGUGAGGUCAAGAGAAGGAGACAGACUCAGGAUCUAAUCUGCAGGCAGAAUUUGCAGGACUUGUGAGGGCUAGAGGUAGGGGGUGAGAGAAGAGAGGAAUCGACGGAGAAGAGAGGAAUCAACCCUGACUGCUUGUUUCUGCCAGAGCAGAGUCGCUCAUCUGCCAAACUUCUUUCCAUGCACACAGUCUCUAAGAACCUUUGGAUUUCACUCUGCACUUCCAAAUAUUAACUCGUAUGAUCCUCAUUUAAAAACCAUGAGGUAGAAACAUUUAUUACCUCAAAGUAUGGAUGGGAAGCCAAGUUACAAAGUAAGUGGUACAGCGGGAAUUCAAAUAUAAGCUCUCUGGUUCCAGAAUAUGUUCUUUUAACCAUGAAAAUACUAUCUUUAUUCAUAGAUGUUUCAUCUGUUUUGGAAGUAUCAGUAAAAGGUGUGCCCUGAUGUUUACAGACAUACUUCUAGUAGAGUGUUGGACUAGCUAGGUAUUGCUGAUUAUCAAGGAAACCGUAUAAACUAUCCACUAAAUUAUUAUUAUUAUUAUUUUUUGAGUCAGAGUCUCACUCUGUCACCAGGCUGCAGUACAGGAGUGCAAUCUCUGCUCACUGCAACCUCUGCCUCCCAGGUUCAAGCGAUUCUCCUGCCUCAGCCUCCUGAGUAGCUGAGACUACAGGCGUACGCCACCAUGCCCAGCUAAUUUUUUUAUUUUUAGUAAAGACAGAGUUUCACCAUGUUGGUCAGGAUGGUCUCAAUCUCUUGACCUGCUGAUCCGCCUUCCUUGCCUCCCAAAGUGCUGGGAUUAUAAGCAUGAGACACUGCGCCUAGCCUCCACUAAAUAUUUUACUUAACUGUUCAGUGACUUUGAUUCUUUAUAUAAUCCAUUUAUGUAAAAGCAAUAGAUUAUGCUUUCUUUUCAUUUAAUAAUUCUAAUAUUUAUUUGGUACUAAUCUGUGCCUAAUUUGCAUAUUUGGGGAUUAUAUAUUAUAUUUUCUUUGUAUUCUGUAUAAUUAUGCAAGCUAUGUAUAUACUUGUAUAGAGCAAGUAUUCUCAACUUAUGAGGCUUUAAGUACUAUAGUUAUGUUUUUUCAUAUUAUACAAAUGAAGCAAUUCUAUUAUAUUUCAAACAAAUUCUAUUAUAUUUCUUGAGUGAACUUCUAUUAUUUAUUUAUUUAUUUAUUUAUUUUUUAGAUGGAGUCUCACUCUGUCACCCAGGCUGGAGUGCAGUGGCACGAUCUUGGCUCACUGCAACCUGUGCCCUCUGAGUUCAAGCGAUUCUCCUGCCUCAGCCUCCUGAGUAGCUGGGAUUACAGGAGCCUGCCACCACACUCAGCUAAUGUUUUUUUUUGUAUUUUUAUUAGAGAUGGGGUUUCAACAUGUUGGCCAGGCUAGUCUUGAACUCCUGACCUCGUGAUCCACCCUUCUCGGCCUCCCAAAGUUCUGGGAUUAAGGCAUGAGCCACCGUGCCCGGCCGAACUUUUAUUUUUAAAUUGAGUUUACGUACCAAAAUUGUACUAUUUUUUUUUAUUUAGGGGAAAAUGAGUUAAUGUAAAUUUGGCUAUUUAGUUACUAAAGGAGUGAGGAGAGUUAAUAUCUAGAAAUAAAUUAUAUAUAACUAUAUUUAGGACACACUAUUUUGUCACAUGAGAAGAGCUAGAAGGAGCUCCUAAAUGCAAGACCAUAUACAUAGAUCAAUUAUCAUAACUUCUGCUUGUUUCUACAAAGCACAGAAGGACUGGCAUUCUUUCUUAUACAGAUGGCCUAAUUUUAUUAUCAAGGACUAGUAAAGGUCUUUAAAAAUUAAUGUGGCAAUUUAAUUAUGGCAAGGAUGGAGAACUAAAGAUCAAUUAUUCUAAAAUUAAUGUACACAUUUUUUGAUAUAGACCUUCCAUGUUUGAAAUGGUUUGUACAUAAUAUUCCCCUAAAAUAUUAUCUAAUUCAGCUAAUUACAUGAAUGAUUUGUACGUAGUUUAAAUUAACAUAGUAUGCUAAAGGUAAAGCCAUAUGCACUUUGUAUUUCAUUGCAAUUUGAUUUAACAUUUUUAAUGUCUGAAGGUGUGUUGGUUUACAUCUACUUUAAAGAUCAUCCAGAGAACAAUUAUUGUGGCCACACUUUAAGGUAAGGGAUCAUGAAACACAGCAUUGUUAGAGCAGACCCCCAAACCACUUUAGGUCCUUCUGACCUGAAUCCAGGUGGCCUUUUUCUCAUGCAAAGUCAUUGUAGGUUCUUAAGCUUUACACAGCAUCAGCCUCUACUUUCUUGGAUUGUAAAACGUGUACUUUUCCAGUUAGUUACCUGUCCACAUAGAAUGACUGCACCCUGACACUUGUCAAUGGGUUCAACCCAGCUCGCUGCUGCUCUAUAUUCUUUGAAAGCUCAGCUGAAGAUGCUAGACAUAUAGGGACCCUUUGAAGUGUAUGUGCUCAGCCCUGCUGUUCCUGGGUCUCUGUGCAAGUCUAUUGUGGGUUCAGACAGACCACCUGCUGCUGGCCCCCUGCAAAGCUCUAUCAUAAUUUGAUGUAAUGCCAGAUGACUGUUCUGUAUUUAUCUUUCUUAGGAGUGGCCUUGUAAUUUAUAUUCUGUUUACAGUAUGGAUGGUAGUGGUGUUUUCAUAAUGAGAACUCAUAAGAAAUAUUUUCUUCAUGCACUGGGUUCCAGAAGGAGUUUUGCUCUGAGUUUACUUACUACCACGUGAUUCACACGGUGAUUAUAGCUUUCUUUUGUGUUGGCUUCUAAAAGGCAAGGUCAAAUUUGCAAUCCUUAUUUACCCAGCAAGAAAUGACUCUUCGCACACGUCUUAGUGUCCUCAGGGUUGCUCCAUCUUGCAUUCUUAUCUUCGACUUUCCUUUGUCUCAUUUUUGAAUUAAUUUUUUUUUUUUUGAGACAGAGUCUCACUCUGUUGCCCAGGCUGGAGUGCGGUGGUGCUUUUUUGGCUCACUGCAACCUCUGCCUCCAGGGUUCAAGCAAUUCCCUCCCUCAGCCUCCUGAGUAGCUCGGACUACAGGUGUGUGCCACCACACUGGCUAAUUUUUUUGUAUUUUUAGUAGAAAUGGGGUUUCACCAUGUUGGCCAGUAUGGUCUUGAUCUCCUGAUCUCGUGAUCUGCCCGCCUCGGCCUCCCAAAGUGCUGGGAUUACAGAUGUGAGCCACUGUUUCUGGCUGAAUUAAAUUUUUAACCAGCAUUUUAGAAAAAUUUCAUGUAGCUUUGCAGUCCUUAUCCUUUAAAUACUAUUUGAAAUAAGGAGAUAAAUAAAUACACAUUAAAUUGUCCCAAUUUCACUGCAUAUGUACUGAGAGGUAUUUAGGGAAUGGGCAGUAUUUCCAAGGAGCAGUCAGAACAUCUAGUGAAAAGCUCUUUUACUGAGCAUGUGAAUGCUGGAAAGACUGGAAGAGGCAGGCCUGUCCCCAGCAGCCAGGGCUUUAUUUCUCCUCUGCAUGUACACUCCCCUCCUUUGGCGCUUAGAGGUGAGGACCCAUGGAGGGAGAGAAUCCCCAACAAGGACCGCUUUAAAUACAGCAGAUGAAGGCCUUGGAAGGAAACAGUAGGAAGCUUUCCCUCCCUUGGAUACUGCAUGUCUUCUUUUUAAAAAUCACACACACAAAUUAAAAAGAUUGAGCAAUGCUUUCAGGGAAAGUAGCAACAGUGAAAGUCCCCAGCUCAAUUCUAGUCAUGUGCCAAAGAUGCCAUCAAAUAAAGUCUCCAGAGCAAAAUAAUUGCUCUGUCAUUGUUUCUCAAAUGCUUUGGAACGAUCUUUGAUGGAAAACAACACAGGCCCCAGAUAAUGCUCAUUAGAAAUCUCCAGAAAAUGCAUUCAAGUAUCAAAGGAAAAUUGGAGGAUCCAAACAGAGAACUCAGAAACUGUGUCUCUGAACUUGGAGAGGGGAUUGACACUAAGGAAAUAUCUAGGGAAAUGUAGAUGUAGGUAAAGAUCUGGAUGCUAAGUCCAAACCUUCCAGAAUCUCUAUAAAAAUAUCAUGUUGGGCACAGAAGAACACAAUUGAAGGAUUCACAUACAGAUGCCAGAAACUGCUUCCUGAAAUUUUAUAGCAGAUUUAUACCAGAAAAACGCGCACGUACACACACACACACACAUACACACACACGAGAGAGAAAGAGAACACACACACGUGAGAGAGACUGAAGGACACAACUUCCACUAGUGUAUCUUUGUUGUUGUUGUUUUGUUUAGAGAUAGGGCCUCUCGCAGUUGUCCAGGCUGGAGUGCAGUGGCCCUAUCAUAUCUCACUACAUCAGCCUCGAUCCUGGGCUCCUGGUCUCUACAAUCCUCCUAUCUCAGCUUCCAGAGUAACUGGGACUACAGGUGUGCCCCACCACACUGGGCUAAUAUUUUUUUUUUUUAGAGAUGGGGUCUGGCUAUGUUGCCCAGGCUGGUCACAAACUCCUGACCUCAAGCAAUCCUCUAUCCUUGGUCUCCCAAAGUGCUGGGAUUACAGGCGUGAGCCAGCAUGCCCUGCCAACCACAAGUGUAUCUUAAUCCAUCAUACCCCACUGCCUGACUUUCUCUGUUGGAGAUCACUCCUUAUUUAAAAAUAAGGAAAACACCAAAAAAUUGGUUUUUAAACAAAGUUAUAAUUUUAGUUCAAAUCUGAGGAAACCUUUCUUCUUGUACAUUAAAAUUAUGCUUCCCACCUAGAGAAUACUUUGACACACGGAACGCUUUGGGGAGCCAGGGUCUACACCCUGCAGGAGGUGGUGACAGCCAGCCCUGUGCUCUUACCCCCAGUUGCUUUGAGCUUGAUGGUCAUGAGUUCUUCAGAAACCUUGCCCUUUUUGAUAACUUGUGCAUUGAGAGGACAUCCAGAUAAGCUGUGAAAAUAGAAAUUGUACUAAUGUAUGAAAUGUAUAUGAUUUCUUAUAAAAAUUAAAAUGUUUUAUUCACAACCUACUAUUUGUGUUUUUGCUGCCGAUUAAUUACAUUAUAACCCACAGUCUCUUUGUAGAGAGUAAUGAAUACAUACCCAUUAAAGCAAAGGCCAAAGGCCCUCAAAUAAUGUAAAAUGUUUUGCUUUCUUUCCUUAAAUCAAGGUACAAAUAGUUACUGCUGAUACACAAUUAUUAUUUAAUUUAUUUUGUUAAAUUGCUAUUCAUCUCCAUUCAAGUAAGUUCUUUUGUUUAGUAGUGGUUACUUUAUUUUCUGUAAAUGUGAAAUUGUACAUAUAUAUUAUGAAUAAGAAUUGUUCCCAAUUAGUCAAAAUUCCAUGAGUAAUAAAGCAGAAUCUAGUUCUUCCUUCCUUUAUAUAAAGUGUUCCUUGACCUUUAUAGAAUGACUCAAAUUAAUACAAGUCAAAAUAAAGCCCUACCCCACGCCCCCAUGGCAAAUUCAGUUUGGUUAUGGGAAUGUUUUUAAUUUUUUUCUUUAACUUUUACAACAUUUUUCAUUAAAAAAUUCUCUACCCUGGAAGGAGAAUAAGAGGAGCUGCCACAAGUGUAUUCAGAUGCAAUCACUGCAGAGGCAGUCUAUUACAUUGCAGUGGUGUUUAUAACCCUUCCAUUUAGUAGUGGCACUCUUCAGCAGGGUUUCUUUCCCUUAAUGUCAUCUGUUUUAUUUAAAUUGCACCAGCAUGAUAAAUGACAACAUUGAAGAAAACUUGUUUUUCAACGUUUAUGAUCAGAUAAUUUUGUUGUUCUAUCCAGCCAUUAAUUCUUUUGCAAUCUUGCUGUGUUUUCGUAGAAACAAUUUUUAGAUCAAAAUAGUGAUGAUCAUAAUCAGUCAUUUAAAGUCUUUUUUUCUGCAGAAAGUUAGUUACAACUCAUCUGUAAAGAAAUCAUUUCACUCUGAAGCUUGGG